GAUGAACGCUGGCGGCGUGCUUAACACAUGCAAGUCGAACGGAGUACUUACGCUGACAAAGCUUCGGCAGAGUCUUGUAAGUACUUAGUGGCGGACGGGUGAGUAACGCGUGGGUAACCUGCCUUAUACCGGGGGAUAACGUCUGGAAACGGACGCUAAUACCGCAUAAGCGCACGAUGAGGCAUCUUGUUGUGUGAAAAACUCCGGUGGUAUAAGAUGGACCCGCGUCUGAUUAGAUAGUUGGUGAGGUAACGGCCCACCAAGUCAACGAUCAGUAGCCGGCCUGAGAGGGUGAACGGCCACAUUGGGACUGAGACACGGCCCAAACUCC
rnacentral:rRNA from 1 species